rnacentral:lncRNA from 1 species
CGAUGGACAGCUUCACCCUCCCAAUCAAAGAGUUAUUGCAAGAUGAAAACCUCACUAAGGACAAUAGUGUUAGCUGCUGCACAAGCAAUAGAAGCAACAUCACCAUAGACAUCAUCAACAACAAAAACAACAACAUAGAGAGCAACAAUAUAGGAACAAAGGGUGAAGGUAAUAAAAAGACCAAACAUGUUUUUUCAUUGUUUGGUUUAACAAAAGGACCAAAAGGGUAUGAAGAUAAAGAUAAGGUAGAUAAGGAGAACAACAAAAAGAAGCUCAAGUUUGAUAUGAUUCAUACACUAAAAAAGUACUUAAGAAUUGUGCUUUUCAAAGGGGCAAGAGAAAAAGUUAGACUCCAUAGACAAUCACAAUCUUAUUCUUAUUCAGGGAAUGUAACUCCAAGGAAUAAACAAGAUUUGAGAGGUUGGAGGGGGAAAUUUUCAGCACCAGCAUCAAUGAGAACUUCUCCUACAAACAGUGGACUUUUGCUUGCAACUUCAGGUAUUCCUUCUGCUAGUGAUAGUACCAUGGAAGAGUUGCAGGCUGCUAUUCAAGCUGCAAUUACUCACUGCAAAAAUUCAAUUGCAAAAGAAGAAAAGCUCAAAUGCUAAUAUAUAGUUGUCAGGUUCGCAAUACUCUUAGUUACUGGUUAUGCAAUUCAUUACAUUUUACCACAUAGCGAUAAGUGCUUUUUACAUUGUCGAAUAUCAUAAAUUGGUUCAUGAUGCACGAUAUAGCUACGAGGGACGCUAUUCGUUUGGUACACGGUUC